rnacentral:RNase_P_RNA from 1 species
CGAGUAAAACAUACGAUGGCGGGGAUAUGUGCAAGCAUAUCCGUGAGGAAAGUCCGUGCUGCUCAGGACAUGGAUAGCUGAUAACGUCAGCCGAGGGCGACCUUAGAGAUAGUGCAACAGAGAUAUACCGCCACACCCCUGAAAAAAAGGGCCCCCACAAAAACAACAGUUUUUGUGGGGAAAAGGAGAAACUGACAAAGUGAUUGAGUUUUGUCUUUUAUGACAAAAUGAUUGAUACGAAGUCUGUUUCGACGUGGCAAGGGUGGAAAGGUGAGGUAAGAGCUCACCAGCGGUGUGGAGACAUACCGGCUAUGUAAACCUUAUCCGCAGCAACUCCCGACAGCAGAGCAUAUGUGGUCCUGCAGCUCUCAGGAGGAGGCUUGAACUUUAUGGCAACAUAAAGUCUAGAUAGAUCAUCGUUUAAUACAGAACACGGCUUACGGUUUACUCGUAAC